rnacentral:rRNA from 1 species
AUUGAACGCUGGCGGCAGGCCUAACACAUGCAAGUCGAACGGUAACAGGAAGCAGCUUGCUGCUUUGCUGACGAGUGGCGGACGGGUGAGUAAUGUCUGGGAAACUGCCUGAUGGAGGGGGAUAACUACUGGAAACGGUAGCUAAUACCGCAUAACGUCGCAAGACCAAAGAGGGGGACCUUCGGGCCUCUUGCCAUCGGAUGUGCCCAGAUGGGAUUAGCUAGUAGGUGGGGUAACGGCUCACCUAGGCGACGAUCCCUAGCUGGUCUGAGAGGAUGACCAGCCACGCUGGAACUGAGACACGGUCCAGACUCCUACGGGAGGCAGCAGUGGGGAAUAUUGCACAAUGGGCGCAAGCCUGAUGCAGCCAUGCCGCGUGUAUGAAGAAGGCCUUCGGGUUGUAAAGUACUUUCAGCGGGGAGGAAGGGAGUAAAGUUAAUACCUUUGCUCAUUGACGUUACCCGCAGAAGAAGCACCGGCUAACUCCGUG